UACGUAGGGGGCAAGCGUUGUCCGGAAUUAUUGGGCGUAAAGCGCGUGUAGGCGGCUCGGUAAGUCUGCUGUGAAAGUCCAGGGCUCAACCCUGGAAUGCCGGUGGAUACUGUCGAGCUAGAGUCCGGAAGAGGCGAGUGGAAUUCCUGGUGUAGCGGUGAAAUGCGCAGAUAUCAGGAGGAACACCAAUGGCGAAGGCAGCUCACUGGGACGGUACUGACGCUGAGACGCGAAAGCGUGGGGAGCAAACAGG
rnacentral:rRNA from 1 species